GGUGCUAUAGCUCAGUUGGUAGAGCAAAGGACUGAAAAUCCUUGUGUCCCCGGUUCGAUUCCUGGUAGCACCACUA
rnacentral:tRNA from 1 species